rnacentral:rRNA from 1 species
GUAGGUGGCAAGCGUUGUCCGGGAAUUAUUGGGGCGUAAAGCGCGCGCAGGCGGUUCUUUAAGUCUGAUGUGAAAGCCCACGGGCUCAACCGUGGAGGGUCAUUGGAAACUGGAGAACUUGAGUACAGAAGAGGAAAGCGGAAUUCCACGUGUAGCGGUGAAAUGCGUAGAGAUGUGGAGGAACACCAGUGGCGAAGGCGGCUUUCUGGUCUGUAACUGACGCUGAGGCGCGAAAGCGUGGGGAGCAAACAGGAUUAGAUACCCUGGUAGUCCACGCCGUAACCGAUGAGUGCUAAGUGUUAGGGGGUUUCCGCCCCUUAGUGCUGCAGCUAACGCAUUAAGCACUCCGCCUGGGGAGUACGGCCGCAAAGGCUGA